rnacentral:rRNA from 1 species
CCUACGGGAGGCUGCAGUGGGGAAUAUUGGACAAUGGGGGGAACCCUGAUCCAGCCAUGCCGCGUGUGUGAAGAAGGCCCUCGGGUUGUAAAGCACUUUCAGUGAGGAAGAACGCCUGGUGGUUAAUACCCAUCAGGAAAGACAUCACUCACAGAAGAAGCACCGGCUAACUCCGUGCCAGCAGCCGCGGUAAUACGGAGGGUGCGAGCGUUAAUCGGAAUUACUGGGCGUAAAGCGCGCGUAGGUGGCUUGAUAAGCCGGUUGUGAAAGCCCCGGGCUCAACCUGGGAACGGCAGCCGGAACUGUCAAGCUAGAGUGCAGGAGAGGAAGGUAGAAUUCCCGGUGUAGCGGUGAAAUGCGUAGAGAUCGGGAGGAAUACCAGUGGCGAAGGCGGCCUUCUGGACUGACACUGACACUGAGGUGCGAAAGCGUGGGUAGCAAACAGGAUUAGAUACCCGAGUAGUC